UACGAAGGGGGGCUAGCGUUGCUCGGAAUCACUGGGCGUAAAGCGCACGUAGGCGGCUUCUUAAGUCAGGGGUGAAAUCCUGGAGCUCAACUCCAGAACUGCCUUUGAUACUGGGGAGCUCGAGUCCGGGAGAGGUGAGUGGAACUGCGAGUGUAGAGGUGAAAUUCGUAGAUAUUCGCAAGAACACCAGUGGCGAAGGCGGCUCACUGGCCCGAUACUGACGCUGAGGCACGAAAGCGUGGGGAGCAAACAGGG
rnacentral:rRNA from 1 species